AGUGAACGCUGGCGGUAGGCCUAACACAUGCAAGUCGAACGGCAGCACAGUAAGAGCUUGCUCUUACGGGUGGCGAGUGGCGGACGGGUGAGGAAUACAUCGGAAUCUACUUUUUCGUGGGGGAUAACGUAGGGAAACUUACGCUAAUACCGCAUACGACCUACGGGUGAAAGCAGGGGAUCUUCGGACCUUGCGCGAUUGAAUGAGCCGAUGCCGGAUUAGCUAGUUGGCGGGGUAAAGGCCCACCAAGGCGACGAUCCGUAGCUGGUCUGAGAGGAUGAUCAGCCACACUGGAACUGAGACACGGUCCAGACUCCUACGGGAGGCAGCAGUGGGGAAUAUUGGACAAUGGGCGCAAGCCUGAUCCAGCCAUACCGCGUGGGUGAAGAAGGCCCUCGGUUUGUAAAGCCCUUUUGUUGGGAAAGAAAAGCAGCAGGUUAAUACCCCGCUGUUCUGACGGUACCCAAAGAAUAAGCACCGGCUAACUUCGUG
rnacentral:rRNA from 1 species